CACGUAGGGGGGCAAGCGUUUGUCCGGAUUUAUUGGGCGUAAAGAGCUCGUAGGCGGUUCGGUAAGUCGGGUGUGAAACCUCCAGGCUCAACCUGGAGAGGCCACCUGAUACUGCUGUGACUCGAGUCCGGUAGGGGAGCGUGGAAUUCCUGGUGUAGCGGUGAAAUGCGCAGAUAUCAGGAGGAACACCAGCGGCGAAGGCGGCGCUCUGGGCCGGAACUGACGCUGAGGAGCGAAAGCGUGGGUAGCAAACAGG
rnacentral:rRNA from 1 species